GCCGAAAUAGGUCAGUUGGGAGAGUGUUAUACUGACGCUCCAAAGAUUCCUUGUUUCGAUCCCAGGUUUUGGCA